UAAGCGCCCAAAGUCGUCGACGUUGCACACAGUAUACAACGUCGAGCCUGAUUGGCGCUAGAUUAAAACCAAACUGAAACACGUUAUUAGUUCCAGUUGAGCCAACAGGGCCGCAAAGAUUCAAGUUUAUCUUUGUACGGUAGUAAGCAGCUUGCACAUA